rnacentral:rRNA from 1 species
AAUGAACGCUGGCGGCGUGCCUAACACAUGCAAGUCGAGCGAGAAAGCUCCUUCGGGAGUGAGUAAAGCGGCGAACGGUUGAGUAACACGUGAGAAUUUACCCUUUAGUGAGGAAUACCCUCGAGAAAUCGAGGUUAAUACUGCAUACGUCCCUUCGGGGAGAAAGGUGGCCUCUUUGCUGCCGCUGAAGGAUAAGCUUGCGGGCUAUCAGUUUGUUGGUGAGGUAAUGGCUCACCAAGACGAUGACGGCUAGCCGGCCUGAGAGGGUGUACGGCCAGACUGGAACUUAGAUACGGUCCAGACUCCUACGGGAGGCAGCAGUGGGGAAUAUUGCGCAAUGGGCGAAAGCCUGACGCAGCGACGCCGCGUGGGGAUGAAGGUCUUAGGA